UAUUUGGUUCAACUCAUAGCUUUUGCAUCCGUCGAUCCACCAAAUCCAUCUAUUGCUGUUGCUCUCGGUCUCUCCGGCUCCUCCAUUCUACCUUCUUCCAGAGAUGGUACAGCAAUGCGGAGGUCAGCGACAAGCUGCGGCGGCAUGUGAAGGCGGCCUCCCCGAAUGCAGAUGCAGCAUGAGCUUCGCAAGGAUUUGGACACUGCUGGAUUCAUACCUUGCCUCCACUGCACCUCCUUCACCACCGAUCUGAACCCCACCCGGUCGCCCAGCCACCUAAACCGUGAAUCCAGAUGGCCCUGUUGGUGCCUGUUGCUUGAUGAGGUUCAUGGAUUCAGCUUCGACAGCGUUGUUGGCGACUUGCGUCAAUGGUUUCUUGUUUGACAAAAUAGGAUCUGGGCUUUGUGAACCUGAUGAGGAUGACACUGGAAUAGAGAUUGUCAUAACAUUUCUUCUUCCUUCUCGGCUCAGUCUGCCUAGGUGCAUUUACACACAAGUGGCUGGGAAUUGCACAAUCCUAUCGAUUUUAGAGUGAGACACAGCAUGCAUGCGUUACCCACCUCCAUGCAGGUCGGAAAUUUCUGUACAUUCCUAUAGUAGUACCAUUAAGGUAAAGGCUUCCACCUCACAUCAAAAGCCAACAGACGUGAUAUUCUGACCACUGAUGCAGUGCUCCCUUCAACUGAUGGUCCUCCAUAGCUUAGCUUAUCCGUGGCGAAAUCCACCAGACAUGUAAGCAGACAUGAGAUAUAUAGGGAAGUCUUUUGUAUAUGUGCAAUCACCUAAGCGUUUGGUGAUAAAGGAACCUCUGGCUAAAUAAUCAAUUGGAUAUCAUUGUGAACAUAACAUGGUUGCAAACCAUGAGCCUUUUUUCCCCAUAUUAUGAACCGCUUUAGUGCUUUGGAUGGAUUUGUACCAGUAUUUUAAACUGUUGAGGUAACGAUAAAUUCUGAUGUUGGCA